AGCUAGCACGAAGAAGACCCUACUUAUUUGGAAUCUUAGACAACAACCCUAUGCCCCCACCUUGCCUCCUCCCUCAACCAAUCCUGCAUUAUCAUUAGCGUUGAUUUCUCUGCUAAACUGGCGUCAUGUGUGUGGGGUUUGCAGCCAAUCUCAUAAAAAUCUAUCACCAUUUAUUCCAUCAUAUUAUGUGCUGAAGGCUGGUUGCAUGCAUCAUGAAUGAAGAUAGCAGCUAGCAAGCAAGUCCAUUAUUGACAGAUAUUGUGGAGGUUCUGGACAGAGUGUGAAUUUGGCUAAAUCAAGUGUUAUAUUCAAUGCAAAUACUUCUGAAUUGAAUAGGAAUGGGAUGGUAGAAGGAAUUGUUGAAGCAAAGAAUGCUGGGUCAUACUUAGGGGUUCCAAGUUUUUGGGGGAAAUAAUAAGGGUAUGGCAAUGAGCUUUAUUAAGAAGAGAAUUAACAAACUAAAACCAUGGAAGAAGAACCUGUUGUCACAAGGAGGAAG